rnacentral:rRNA from 1 species
AGCAGUCGCCACGGUAAUACGGAGGGGGCUAGCGUUGUUCGGAAUUACUGGGCGUAAAGCGCACGUAGGCGGCUUGGUAAGUUAGAGGUGAAAGCCCGGAGCUCAACUCCGGAAUUGCCUUUAAGACUGCCGAGCUAGUAGGUGAGAGAGGUAAGUGGAAUUCCGAGUGUAGAGGUGAAAUUCGUAGAUAUUCGGAAGAACACCAGUGGCGAAGGCGACACACUGGCUCACUACUGACGCUGAGGCGCGAAAGCGUGGGGAGCAAACAGGAUUAGAUACCCCGGUAGUCCCUGUCUCUUAUAC